rnacentral:misc_RNA from 1 species
UAACUGCGAUAAAUAACAUGAAUUGCAGGUUUCUGUGAAUCGUCGAAACUUCGAACGCACUGCGCCCGGUAGCAAUAUCGGGCACAUUCGGUUGAGUGACAUUUUAAUCUCUGGAUCCACAAAAACUCUUUUGCGGAACCGAUUUUUGGCGGUUUGCUAACAACAAUCCGCUUAAAUGCGGCGGAGGAUUAUUUCUUCUGUCGGGAUACAGACUUUUUUUCGGCUUGUGAAGAAAAAGGAAUUUCCGCUUUUUUCACAAAACCCGACCGCCCAGUGCGGUAAAGGUUGUUGCAUCCAUUUCCAAACCAUACCACAAGUUUUGCGAAAGCCGAACUUCAAAAUUUUUGUCCUCAACUCGAGUGAGAUUACCCGCUGAACUUAA